GGUCAAGUGACUAAGAGCAUGUGGUGGAUGCCUUGGCGAUGAUAGGCGACGAAAGACGUGAUAGCCUGCGAUAAGCUUCGGGG
rnacentral:rRNA from 1 species